GAUGAACGCUGGCGGCGUGCCUAAUACAUGCAAGUCGAGCGAACGGACGAGAAGCUUGCUUCUCUGAUGUUAGCGGCGGACGGGUGAGUAACACGUGGAUAACCUACCUAUAAGACUGGGAUAACUUCGGGAAACCGUAGCUAAUACCGGAUAAUAUUUUGAACCGCAUGGUUCAAAAGUGAAAGACGGUCUUGCUGUCACUUAUAGAUGGAUCCGCGCUGCAUUAGCUAGUUGGUAAGGUAACGGCUUACCAAGGCAACGAUGCAUAGCCGACCUGUGAGGGUGAUCGGCCACACUGGAACUGAGACACGGUCCAGACUCCUACGGGAGGCAGCAGUAGGGAAUCUUCCGCAAUGGGCGAAAGCCUGACGGAGCAACGCCGCGUGAGUGAUGAAGGUCUUCGGAUCGUAAAACUCUGUUAUUAGGGAAGAACAUAUGAGUAAGUAACUGUGCACAUCUUGACGGUACCUAAUCAGAAAGCCACGGCUAACUACGUG
rnacentral:rRNA from 1 species